UACGUAGGGACCAAGCGUUGUUCGGAUUUACUGGGCGUAAAGGGCGCGUAGGCGGCGCGGUAAGUCACUUGUGAAAUCUCUGAGCUUAGCUCAGAACGGCCAAGUGAUACUGCAGUGCUAGAGUGUGGAAGGGGCAAUCGGAAUUCUUGGUGUAGCGGUGAAAUGCGUAGAUAUCAAGAGGAACACCUGAGGUGAAGACGGGUUGCUGGGCCAACACUGACGCUGAGGCGCGAAAGCCAGGGGAGCAAACGGG
rnacentral:rRNA from 1 species